AUUGAACGCUGGCGGCAGGCCUAACACAUGCAAGUCGAGCGGAGCGGCGGACGGGUGAGUAAUGCCUAGGAAUCUGCCUGGUAGUGGGGGAUAACGUCCGGAAACGGGCGCUAAUCCCGCAUCCUAUCAGAUUAGCCUAGGUCGGAUUGGCUAGUUGGUGGGGUAAAGGCCUACCAAGGGGACGAUCCGUAACUGGGCUGAGAGGAUGAUGAGUCACACGGGAACGUAGAAAAGGUCCAGACCCCUACGGGAGGCAGCAGUGGGGAAUAUUGGACAAUGGGCGAAAGCCUGAUCCAGCCAUGCCGCGUGUGUGAAGAAGGUCUGCGGAUUGUAAAGCACUUUAAGUUGGGAGGCGUUACCAACAGAAUAAGCACCGGCUAACUUCGUGCCAGCAGCCGCGGUAAUUC
rnacentral:rRNA from 1 species